UGGGGAAUAUUGCAUAAUGGGCGCAAGCCUGAUGCAGCCAUGCCGCGUGUGUGAAGAAGGCCUUCGGGUUGUAAAGCACUUUCAGCGAGGAGGAAGGGUAGUGUGUUAAUAGCACAUUGCAUUGACGUUACUCGCAGAAGAAGCACCGGCUAACUCCGUGCCAGCAGCCGCGGUAAUACGGAGGGUGCAAGCGUUAAUCGGAAUUACUGGGCGUAAAGCGCACGCAGGCGGUUUGUUAAGUCAGAUGUGAAAUCCCCGCGCUUAACGUGGGAACUGCAUUUGAAACUGGCAAGCUAGAGUCUUGUAGAGGGGGGUAGAAUUCCAGGUGUAGCGGUGAAAUGCGUAGAGAUCUGGAGGAAUACCGGUGGCGAAGGCGGCCCCCUGGACAAAGACUGACGCUCAGGUGCGAAAGCGUGGGGAGCAAACA
rnacentral:rRNA from 1 species